CUUAAUUUGGUUGAAAGCAAGCUCUUCAGCCUAAGUGGAUAAAAAACAUCCCUUUGAGGAUGAGGAAAUAGACGAUAAAAUCUGUGUUCCUAAUUUUCUUCAAUAGUUCGGAGGAUUUUUUUUUCAUCCUGUGUGUGUUUUUAAGACCUUGUUAAGUUCAUAGUUCUUUUUUCUUUUAUUGUUUGAAUAGAGCACCAUUCUCUUUAAUCCCACCUGAGUUUCAAAAAUGUAUUAUUGAACUGCCCAGUUCAGGAAUUCAGUUGCCUGUUUUACUGAAUGGAG
rnacentral:lncRNA from 1 species